rnacentral:lncRNA from 1 species
GGCACGUGCCUCGGCCGUGAGGAGGAGGAGGGAUGCAAGCUUCGCUCCUCUACCCUGGUGCCCAGCAGGCGUACACCACCACAUGCCUACUAGGAAGCCACGGGGAGGAGGACCUAGUGCCGAACCCACAGCCCUGGCCUCCGUGGACAUGCCUCCCCCCUACCCCAGCAGGGAACAGAUGACCCCUAGAGAGCGCCCCACUGUCUACCCCGAGGUCCAAGCUUGCAGAGGCCACUCUGAAGUUGGCUGUCCAUCGGCCUCUUAACUGGGCUGUUUUUCGUCCAACUUCUCUACUGCACUUAAGAUGAUUUGCCAAAAACCCCUCCACCACCAUAUUAGCUGGAACAUUUGGGGUUGAAGUGACAGAACUCCCAAACAAAUAGGUUUGAGCUGUACCCCGUCUCUACCAAAAAAAAAAAAAAGUGCUGAUCACACUGGGUCCCGCUGUUCCCACGUCUGCCUCCCUACCAGACUGAGCUCCAAGCUGCCAGGGGCCUCGUCUCCAUCUGGGUCCCAGUUCCCACCAUAGAGCUGGGCAUGGAGGACAGCUCAGGGAAGCUUCUUGGGAAAUGAAUUCUGGGAGUUCCCUCUGCCAAGGACCCACUGUGUUAAGAGCUUUAAGUCCCCCUUCCUCCCAGGUGAAUGUCCACUUCGAGGCCGGCUCAACCACCGUCUUCAGAGAACUCUCCCACACUGGCCACAGCCUAUCUGCCAGCGUCACCCACUGUCUAGGUCUUUGCCCAUAAUGUGUCAAGGGCAAAACAGAGGGGUGGAUAUGAUGCACGUGCCUCAGCCCGGGGCCCGUACAUGGCUGGCGUCCAGGUAACGCAGGCCUGGGGCAGACAUUCCUUACACAGCUCCCACCCUACUCUUACGUCCACAUUUAGGCAGCCAGGCCACCUUAGCCUUGGAGGGGAGGACACCAACGGGGCCCGCCUUACCAGCAGUCAGAAACAGACCCACAUCCCAGUGGGUACCCAAGGCUUCUUUCCUUAGGCCCCAUCCCAUUUAGGAAGUUGGGAAACCCACUGGGUGAGCCCAAAGGCUACCAAAGCCUGCUGGGCCAGGGGAGCAGGAAGACCCCUGGAGCACCGGAAGCAAGAAAGAGGCAGGCAGGGGCGGCUAGCCAGGUUUGUGCUCGGACUAUUCACACAGAGACAUGUGGCAGCUUACGUUGGACAAAACGAGUAAUAAAAAUUGGCUUUAAAUAUGGAAGGUAUAGACCAAGAGAAAUGGCGGCAUCUGCACACACAAAAACUUGUACAGGAAUGUUCACAGCAGCAAUAACAGCCAAAAAGUGGGAACAAUCUUAAUGUCUACCAACUGACGAACAGGUAUAGACCAAGAGGUAUGGAGGCCAAGGCGAGCAGAUUACUUGAGGUCAGGAGUUCGAGACCAGCCUGGCCAGCGGUUCCAGUGAGGCCCAUGUGAGGCAGUCACUCAGGGCAGUAGCCCCCUCACUGGCCUCCCCACUUCCACUCACACCCACUAUGGCCCACUCCCCACACCUCACAUUCCUGCCCAGGGUCCCCCAGCGGUCCCAUCUUGCUGAGAACCUGCCGGCACUCCUCUUUGCCUGCACGGGCUCACUCAGCCACACAGGUGUCCUCGCGGCUGCUCCACCUCACAGGGCUGGCCCCUGCCUCAGGACUGCAAUACCCGGCUGUUUCUUCUGCCUGGAAUGCUCACACCCCAAACCUU